GGCCUCACUGACCGGAAGGAAUCCUUUCUGGUCAAUGAGGUUGUUAUACCUCACCGAUCGGAAGGAUUUCCUUCAGAUUGAUGAGGUACAACAACCCCAUGGACCAGAAGGAAUCCCUUCUGUUUGAUGAGGUU
rnacentral:miRNA from 1 species